rnacentral:misc_RNA from 1 species
GAUGAAGAACGUAGCGAAAUGCGAUAAGUAAUGUGAAUUGCAGAAUUCAGUGAAUCAUCGAAUCUUUGAACGCACAUUGCGCCCGCCAGUAUUCUGGCGGGCAUGCCUGUUCGAGCGUCAUUUCAACCCUCAGGACCCUUUGGACCUGGUGUUGGGGCUCGGCCGCUACCCCGCGGCCGUCCCCGAAAGAUAGUGGCGGUCUCGCAGUAGCGUCCUCUGCGUAGUAAUUACACCUCGCACUGGAACGCGGCGCGGCCACGCCGUUAAACACCCCACUUCUCAAGGUUGACCUCGGAUCAGGUAGGAAUACCCGCUGAACUUAAGCAUAUCAAUAAGCGGAGGA